rnacentral:rRNA from 1 species
AUUGAACGCUGGCGGCAGGCCUAACACAUGCAAGUCGAGCGGCAGCGGAAAGUAGCUUGCUACUUUGCCGGCGAGCGGCGGACGGGUGAGUAAUGUCUGGGGAUCUGCCUGAUGGAGGGGGAUAACUACUGGAAACGGUAGCUAAUACCGCAUAACGUCGCAAGACCAAAGUGGGGGACCUUCGGGCCUCACGCCAUCGGAUGAACCCAGAUGGGAUUAGCUAGUAGGUGGGGUAAUGGCUCACCUAGGCGACGAUCCCUAGCUGGUCUGAGAGGAUGACCAGCCACACUGGGACUGAGACACGGCCCAGACUCCUACGGGAGGCAGCAGUGGGGAAUAUUGCACAAUGGGCGCAAGCCUGAUGCAGCCAUGCCGCGUGUGUGAAGAAGGCCUUCGGGUUGUAAAGCACUUUCAGCGAGGAGGAAGGGUGGUGUGUUAAUAGCACACGACAUUGACGUUACUCGCAGAGGAAGCACCGGCUAACUCCGUGCCAGCCGCCGCGGUAA